GGCAUGAUAUCAGAUGACGAUCCUGAAGAAAGUGUUUCAGAGCAAGAUUCAGCUCUGUCUAAUGAUUCCAAAGACCCAGUAAGAGAUAAAGGCCAGCAAAGCCAAGAGUAAAGAGACUAUUUGUCAUUUACAUGAAUGAGUGUUGUUUUUAAAUUUAGUUAUAUGAUUUUUUUAAAAAUAUUAUAUAUCAGUGCAGAAGCUAGUCACAUUAUGACCACUCCUAAAACCUGGACCUAAGAUUGAAAAGGUUGAAUGUUUGAUAGAAACUGCUUGCAGGUGUGAAAUUGAACUCUUGAGUUAUCAGGUUGUACUUUUACAAAUGAGAGCAAUUAUGAAAUAAAAUGUAUUAUGUUAAUUCACAAA
rnacentral:sRNA from 1 species